rnacentral:lncRNA from 1 species
UCCUGUAAUUGUUCUAAUUUUUCUUAUUGCAAGUGUUUCGAUCCUUUCUAUUGCAAGCUUUCCAAUCCUUCCUAUUUUAAGUGUUCCGAUCUUACCUAUUGCAAGUUUCCCGAUCGUUUCUCAUGUAAUUGUUCUAAUUUUUCUUAUUGCAAGUGUUUCGAUCCUUUCUAUUGCAAGUUUCCCGAUCGUUUCUCUUGUAAUUGUUCUAAUUUUUCUUAUUGAAAGUGUUUUGAUCCUUUCUAUUGCAAGCUUUCCAAUCCUUCCUAUUGUAAGUGUUCCGAUCUUACCUAUUGCAAGUUUCCCGAUCGUUUCUCCUGUUAUUGUUCUAAUCUUUCCUAUUGCAAGUGUCCUGAUCUUUCCUUACUGCAAUUUUAUCUCUAUAUUUGCUUUGAAUAUGAGGAACAUUAAAUUGUUCUAGCCUUGCAUUUGAUAUAUCUCAUGUUUAGACGUAACGAUUCGAAUCUGUGCAACUCCUGAGAUUCUGACCUUUCUACCUUGUUAUGGUUAUAACUUCACGUAUUGACCUCUGAUUUGGACAAAACUUAUUUGAUCAGAAUAUAGACUCAUAAACCUUUCUUUUGAUAGCUUAUUUUAAGAAUUCGGAGUAAGUUUGUCUGCCCAAACUUCUGUUUCAAAUGAGCCUACAGAUUCUGCAAAACAGGGAUCGUAAUUUCUGACCUUUUGAUACUGAUCUGCCUAUAAGUCGAUGUUGGAAACUCAAAUUUAUUCAAAGCUUAUUUCAUUGGAAACUAGACUCGUAGAUCUUUCUUUGAUACCUGGAUUGAAAGAUUUAGAGUCCAAAUGCCUGCCCAGUUUUCUAUUGAAACCGACCCUGUGAAUUCUGUAAAAUUGAGAUUUGUUCUUUGAUCUUGGGUUACUAAAUCUAUUGUAACUCUUUGUUGGAAACUUCGAUUCAUACGAGACUUGUUUAAUCUGAAAAUAGAUAGAAAUAUCUUUCCA